UAACGCGUGGGCAACCUGCCCCAUACNGGGGGAUAACAGNCGGAAACGGNUGCUAAAACCGCAUAAGCGCACAAGGGCCGCNNGGNCUGGNGNGAAAAACUCCGGNGGGAUGGNAUGGGCCCGCGUCUGAUUAGNUNGUUGGNGGGGGAGAGGCCCACCAAGGNNACNAUCAGUAGCCGACCUGAGAGGGNGGCCGGCCACNUUGGGACUGAGACACGGCCCAAACUCCUACGGGAGGCAGCAGNGGGGAAUAUUGCACAAUGGGGGAAACCCUGAUGCAGCGACGCCGCGUGGGUGAAGAAGUAUUUCGGUAUGUAAAGCCCUAUCAGCAGGGAAGAAAGAAGACGGUACCUGACUAAGAAGCCCCGGCUAACUACGUGCCAGCAGCCGCGGUAAUACGUAGGGGGCGAGCGUUAUCCGGAUUUACUGGGUGUAAAGGGAGCGCAGGCGGCCUGNCAAGCCUGAUGUGAAAUACCGGGGCCCAACCCCGGGGCUGCAUUGGGAACUGNCAGGNUGGAGUGNCGGAGAGGNAGGCGGAAUUCCUAGUGUAGCGGUGAAAUGNGUAGAUAUUANGAGGAACACCNGUGGCGAAGGCGGCCUGNUGGACNNUGACUGACGCUGAAGCUCGAAAGCGUGGGGAGCAAACAGGAUUAGAUACCCUGGUAG
rnacentral:rRNA from 1 species